rnacentral:rRNA from 1 species
AGUGAACGCUGGCGGUAGGCCUAACACAUGCAAGUCGAACGGCAGCACAGUAAGAGUUUGCUCUUACGGGUGGCGAGUGGCGGACGGGUGAGGAAUACAUCGGAAUCUACUUUUUCGUGGGGGAUAACGUAGGGAAACUUACGCUAAUACCGCAUAUGAUCUACGGGUGAAAGCAGGGGAUCUUCGGACCUUGCGCGAUUGAAUGAGCCGAUGUCGGAUUAGCUAGUUGGCGGGGUAAAGGCCCACCAAGGCGACGAUCCGUAGCUGGUCUGAGAGGAUGAUCGGCCACACUGGAACUGAGACACGGUCCAGACUCCUACGGGAGGCAGCAGUGGGGAAUAUUGGGCAAUGGGCGCAAGCCUGAUCCAGCCAUACCGCGUGGGUGAAGAAGGCCUUCGGGUUGUAAAGCCCUUUUGUUGGGAAAGAAAAGCAGCAGGUUAAUACCCCGCUGUUCUGACGGUACCCAAUGAAUAAGCACCGGCUAACUUCGUG